rnacentral:rRNA from 1 species
GCCUGAAUCAGUGUGUGUGUUAGUGGAAGCGUCUGGAAAGGCGCGCGAUACAGGGUGACAGCCCCGUACACAAAAAUGCACAUACUGUGAGCUCGAUGAGUAGGGCGGGACACGUGGUAUCCUGUCUGAAUAUGGGGGGACCAUCCUCCAAGGCUAAAUACUCCUGACUGACCGAUAGUGAACCAGUACCGUGAGGGAAAGGCGAAAAGAACCCCGGCGAGGGGAGUGAAAAAGAACCUGAAACCGUGUACGUACAAGCAGUGGGAGCCUCUUUAUGGGGUGACUGCGUACCUUUUGUAUAAUGGGUCAGCGACUUAUAUUCUGUAGCAAGGUUAACCGAAUAGGGGAGCCGAAGGGAAACCGAGUCUUAACUGGGCGUUAAGUUGCAGGGUAUAGACCCGAAACCCGGUGAUCUAGCCAUGGGCAGGUUGAAGGUUGGGUAACACUAACUGGAGGACCGAACCGACUAAUGUUGAAAAAUUAGCGGAUGACUUGUGGCUGGGGGUGAAAGGCCAAUCAAACCGGGAGAUAGCUGGUUCUCCCCGAAAGCUAUUUAGGUAGCGCCUCGUGAAUUCAUCUCCGGGGGUAGAGCACUGUUUCGGCAAGGGGGUCAUCCCGACUUACCAACCCGAUGCAAACUGCGAAUACCGGAGAAUGUUAUCACGGGAGACACACGGCGGGUGCUAACGUCCGUCGUGAAGAGGGAAACAACCCAGACCGCCAGCUAAGGUCCCAAAGUCAUGGUUAAGUGGGAAACGAUGUGGGAAGGCCCAGACAGCCAGGAUGUUGGCUUAGAAGCAGCCAUCAUUUAAAGAAAGCGUAAUAGCUCACUGGUCGAGUCGGCCUGCGCGGAAGAUGUAACGGGGCUAAACCAUGCACCGAAGCUGCGGCAGCGACACUAUGUGUUGUUGGGUAGGGGAGCGUUCUGUAAGCCUGUGAAGGUGUACUGUGAGGUAUGCUGGAGGUAUCAGAAGUGCGAAUGCUGACAUAAGUAACGAUAAAGCGGGUGAAAAGCCCGCUCGCCGGAAGACCAAGGGUUCCUGUCCAACGUUAAUCGGGGCAGGGUGAGUCGACCCCUAAGGCGAGGCCGAAAGGCGUAGUCGAUGGGAAACAGGUUAAUAUUCCUGUACUUGGUGUUACUGCGAAGGGGGGACGGAGAAGGCUAUGUUGGCCGGGCGACGGUUGUCCCGGUUUAAGCGUGUAGGCUGGUUUUCCAGGCAAAUCCGGAAAAUCAAGGCUGAGGCGUGAUGACGAGGCACUACGGUGCUGAAGCAACAAAUGCCCUGCUUCCAGGAAAAGCCUCUAAGCAUCAGGUAACAUCAAAUCGUACCCCAAACCGACACAGGUGGUCAGGUAGAGAAUACCAAGGCGCUUGAGAGAACUCGGGUGAAGGAACUAGGCAAAAUGGUGCCGUAACUUCGGGAGAAGGCACGCUGAUAUGUAGGUGAAGCGACUUGCUCGUGGAGCUGAAAUCAGUCGAAGAUACCAGCUGGCUGCAACUGUUUAUUAAAAACACAGCACUGUGCAAACACGAAAGUGGACGUAUACGGUGUGACGCCUGCCCGGUGCCGGAAGGUUAAUUGAUGGGGUUAGCGGUAACGCGAAGCUCUUGAUCGAAGCCCCGGUAAACGGCGGCCGUAACUAUAACGGUCCUAAGGUAGCGAAAUUCCUUGUCGGGUAAGUUCCGACCUGCACGAAUGGCGUAAUGAUGGCCAGGCUGUCUCCACCCGAGACUCAGUGAAAUUGAACUCGCUGUGAAGAUGCAGUGUACCCGCGGCAAGACGGAAAGACCCCGUGAACCUUUACUAUAGCUUGACACUGAACAUUGAGCCUUGAUGUGUAGGAUAGGUGGGAGGCUUUGAAGUGUGGACGCCAGUCUGCAUGGAGCCGGCCUUGAAAUACCACCCUUUAAUGUUUGAUGUUCUAACGUUGGCCCCUGAUCGGGGUUGCGGACAGUGUCUGGUGGGUAGUUUGACUGGGGCGGUCUCCUCCUAAAGAGUAACGGAGGAGCACGAAGGUUGGCUAAUCCUGGUCGGACAUCAGGAGGUUAGUGCAAUGGCAUAAGCCAGCUUGACUGCGAGCGUGACGGCGCGAGCAGGUGCGAAAGCAGGUCAUAGUGAUCCGGUGGUUCUGAAUGGAAGGGCCAUCGCUCAACGGAUAAAAGGUACUCCGGGGAUAACAGGCUGAUACCGCCCAAGAGUUCAUAUCGACGGCGGUGUUUGGCACCUCGAUGUCGGCUCAUCACAUCCUGGGGCUGAAGUAGGUCCCAAGGGUAUGGCUGUUCGCCAUUUAAAGUGGUACGCGAGCUGGGUUUAGAACGUCGUGAGACAGUUCGGUCCCUAUCUGCCGUGGGCGCUGGAGAACUGAGGGGGGCUGCUCCUAGUACGAGAGGACCGGAGUGGACGCAUCACUGGUGUUCGGGUUGUCAUGCCAAUGGCACUGCCCGGUAGCUAAAUGCGGAAGAGAUAAGUGCUGAAAGCAUCUAAGCACGAAACUUGCCCCGAGAUGAGUUCUCCCUGACUCCUUGA